GAUGAACGCUGGCGGCGUGCCUAAUACAUGCAAGUCGAGCGAACGGACGAGAAGCUUGCUUCUCUGAUGUUAGCGGCGGACGGGUGAGUAACACGUGGAUAACCUACCUAUAAGACUGGGAUAACUUCGGGAAACCGGAGCUAAUACCGGAUGAUAUUUUGAACCGCAUGGUUCAAUAGUGAAAGACGGUCUUGCUGUCACUUAUAGAUGGAUCCGCGCUGCAUUAGCUAGUUGGUAAGGUAACGGCUUACCAAGGCAACGAUGCGUAGCCGACCUGAGAGGGUGAGCGGCCACACUGGAACGGAGACAAGGUCCAGACUCCUACGGGAGGCAGCAGUAGGGAAGCUUCCGCAAUGGGCGAAAGCCUGACGGAGCAACGCCGCGUGAGUGAUGAAGGUCUUCGGAUCGUAAAACUCUGUGAUUAGGGAAGAACAAAUGUGUAAGUAACUAUGCACGUCUUGACGGUACCUAAUCAGAAAGCCACGGCUAACUACGUG
rnacentral:rRNA from 1 species